AUAUAUAUCAACCUCUUCUUGUUGAGUGGUUUGGAUGUGGGGGUUUUGCUGGCCUCUUGAAAGGGUCAGCUCCUCUGAAAUGCAUUAGCAGAACGACCUGUUCAUUGGUGUGAUAAACUAUCUACGCUAUUGAAUGGUGAAGGCAGUUCAGCUUCCUAACAGUCCUUGGACAAUUUAUCAUUA
rnacentral:misc_RNA from 1 species